AAGGUUAAGCCUCACGGUUCAUUAGUACCGGUUAGCUCAACGCAUCGCUGCGCUUACACACCCGGCCUAUCAACGUCGUCGUCUUCAACGUUCCUUCAGGACUCUCAAGGAGUCAGGGAGAACUCAUCUCGGGGCAAGUUUCGUGCUUAGAUGCUUUCAGCACUUAUCUCUUCCGCAUUUAGCUACCGGGCAGUGCCAUUGGCAUGACAACCCGAACACCAGUGAUGCGUCCACUCCGGUCCUCUCGUACUAGGAGCAGCCCCCCUCAGUUCUCCAGCGCCCACGGCAGAUAGGGACCGAACUGUCUCACGACGUUCUAAACCCAGCUCGCGUACCACUUUAAAUGGCGAACAGCCAUACCCUUGGGACCUACUUCAGCCCCAGGAUGUGAUGAGCCGACAUCGAGGUGCCAAACACCGCCGUCGAUAUGAACUCUUGGGCGGUAUCAGCCUGUUAUCCCCGGAGUACCUUUUAUCCGUUGAGCGAUGGCCCUUCCAUUCAGAACCACCGGAUCACUAUGACCUGCUUUCGCACCUGCUCGCGCCGUCACGCUCGCAGUCAAGCUGGCUUAUGCCAUUGCACUAACCUCCUGAUGUCCGACCAGGAUUAGCCAACCUUCGUGCUCCUCCGUUACUCUUUAGGAGGAGACCGCCCCAGUCAAACUACCCACCAGACACUGUCCGCAACCCGGAUUACGGGUCAACGUUAGAACAUCAAACAUUAAAGGGUGGUAUUUCAAGGUCGGCUCCAUGCAGACUGGCGUCCACACUUCUAAGCCUCCCACCUAUCCUACACAUCAAGGCUCAAUGUUCAGUGUCAAGCUAUAGUAAAGGUUCACGGGGUCUUUCCGUCUUGCCGCGGGUACACUGCAUCUUCACAGCGAGUUCAAUUUCACUGAGUCUCGGGUGGAGACAGCCUGGCCAUCAUUACGCCAUUCGUGCAGGUCGGAACUUACCCGACAAGGAAUUUCGCUACCUUAGGACCGUUAUAGUUACGGCCGCCGUUUACCGGGGCUUCGAUCAAGAGCUUCGCUUGCGCUGACCCCAUCAAUUAACCUUCCGGCACCGGGCAGGCGUCACACCGUAUACGUCCACUUUCGUGUUUGCACAGUGCUGUGUUUUAAUAAACAGUUGCAGCCAGCUGGUAUCUUCGACUGAUUUCAGCUCCAUCCGCGAGGGACUUCACCUACAUAUCAGCGUGCCUUCUCCCGAAGUUACGGCACCAUUUUGCCUAGUUCCUUCACCCGAGUUCUCUCAAGCGCCUUGGUAUUCUCUACCUGACCACCUGUGUCGGUUUGGGGUACGAUUUGAUGUUACCUGAUGCUUAGAGGCUUUUCCUGGAAGCAGGGCAUUUGUUGCUUCAGCACCGUAGUGCCUCGUCAUCACGCCUCAGCCUUGAUUUUCCGGAUUUGCCUGGAAAACCAGCCUACACGCUUAAACCGGGACAACCGUCGCCCGGUCAACAUAGCCUUCUCCGUCCCCCUUCGCAGUAACACCAAGUACAGGAAUAUUAACCUGUUUCCCAUCGACUACGCCUUUCGGCCUCGCCUUAGGGGUCGACUCACCCUGCCCCGAUUAACGUUGGACAGGAACCCUUGGUCUUCCGGCGAGCGGGCUUUUCACCCGCUUUAUCGUUACUUAUGUCAGCAUUCGCACUUCUGAUACCUCCAGCAUGCCUCACAGCACACCUUCACAGGCUUACAGAACGCUCCCCUACCCAACAACGCAUAAGCGUCGCUGCCGCAGCUUCGGUGCAUGGUUUAGCCCCGUUACAUCUUCCGCGCAGGCCGACUCGACCAGUGAGCUAUUACGCUUUCUUUAAAUGAUGGCUGCUUCUAAGCCAACAUCCUGGCUGUCUGGGCCUUCCCACAUCGUUUCCCACUUAACCAUGACUUUGGGACCUUAGCUGGCGGUCUGGGUUGUUUCCCUCUUCACGACGGACGUUAGCACCCGCCGUGUGUCUCCCGUGAUAACAUUCUCCGGUAUUCGCAGUUUGCAUCGGGUUGGUAAGUCGGGAUGACCCCCUUGCCGAAACAGUGCUCUACCCCCGGAGAUGAAUUCACGAGGCGCUACCUAAAUAGCUUUCGGGGAGAACCAGCUAUCUCCCGGUUUGAUUGGCCUUUCACCCCCAGCCACAAGUCAUCCGCUAAUUUUUCAACAUUAGUCGGUUCGGUCCUCCAGUUAGUGUUACCCAACCUUCAACCUGCCCAUGGCUAGAUCACCGGGUUUCGGGUCUAUACCCUGCAACUUAACGCCCAGUUAAGACUCGGUUUCCCUUCGGCUCCCCUAUUCGGUUAACCUUGCUACAGAAUAUAAGUCGCUGACCCAUUAUACAAAAGGUACGCAGUCACACGCCUAAGCGUGCUCCCACUGCUUGUACGUACACGGUUUCAGGUUCUUUUUCACUCCCCUCGCCGGGGUUCUUUUCGCCUUUCCCUCACGGUACUGGUUCACUAUCGGUCAGUCAGGAGUAUUUAGCCUUGGAGGAUGGUCCCCCCAUAUUCAGACAGGAUACCACGUGUCCCGCCCUACUCAUCGAGCUCACAGCAUGUGCAUUUUUGUGUACGGGGCUGUCACCCUGUAUCGCGCGCCUUUCCAGACGCUUCCACUAACACACACACUGAUUCAGGCUCUGGGCUGCUCCCCGUUCGCUCGCCGCUACUGGGGGAAUCUCGGUUGAUUUCUUUUCCUCGGGGUACUUAGAUGUUUCAGUUCCCCCGGUUCGCCUCAUUAACCUAUGGAUUCAGUUAAUGAUAGUGUGUCGAAACACACUGGGUUUCCCCAUUCGGAAAUCGCCGGUUAUAACGGUUCAUAUCACCUUACCGACGCUUAUCGCAGAUUAGCACGUCCUUCAUCGCCUCUGACUGCCAGGGCAUCCACCGUGUACGCUUAGUCGCUUAA
rnacentral:rRNA from 1 species